rnacentral:misc_RNA from 1 species
AACGCACGAGACCUGCGGACCUGCGGAGGGAUCAUUCGUGAAGCAGGCGCUCCGUCGCCCUUCUCUACCCUUCAACCAUGUGGUCUUCUGCCAUUGCCUCGGGGGGGUUUGAGGCGGCCUCGGCCGUCGGGGCCCCUUGCUGGGCCCCGCCCCCCCGCGUGCCCUUGAUAAAGUCUUGGAGUGAUAUUUGCGUCUGAUCUGUCCGGUGGACAUAAUGAAAAUAAAACUUUCAACAACGGA